UACGUAGGGUGCAAGCGUUAUCCGGAUUUAUUGGGCGUAAAGAGCUCGUAGGCGGUUCGGUAAGUCGGGUGUGAAAACUCUGGGCUCAACCCAGAGAGGCCACCCGAUACUGCUGUGACUAGAGUGCGGUAGGGGAGCGGGGAAUUCCCGGUGUAGCGGUGAAAUGCGCAGAUAUCGGGAGGAACACCUAUGGCGAAGGCAGCUCGCUGGGACGUUACUGACGCUGAGACGCGAAAGCGUGGGGAGCAAACAGG
rnacentral:rRNA from 1 species